CCCCCCUUCACUAUUUGCGUUGUGGCUGCUGCAGUUGGCAGCGUUUCCCAGAUGGCUCUAUCGAGAGUUGGCAACACUAACAAUAACAUGGCGGUCAGCUGUUGGAAGUCGAAGAGCAGUGGGUGAUUAGAGUAGCGAGAAACGCGUCCGCGUAUCCGCCUAGAAAUUGCCGAUAAACUUAUCCCACUGCGCUAGAUGUUGUCCGAAGGACGUGACCGUCCGAUACGUCGGGAUUCGCAUGCUACCGGAGCGUCUGCGACUGACAGUCUACGACGAAGCUUGUGCCUGGUGCGAGCAUGAUACUACGGAUACCGUGCUUUGUCGAUACGGCGCUUCGGGUGAUCUCCUCCCAAUUGGCUCUGGCGAAAAGGUUUUUCGCACUCUACUCACCCGGCUCCAACAGAGCGGACAUCUACCCGCGACAUUUUUCUUAGGUCACUGUGCAGUCUAUCGACGAGAGCCGCAAGAUGUUGUACGUGUUCCUCGUCGAUACAGGCAAGAUGGUGACCUUUGAUAUGAACCACGCCGUCGAAAGUGUGGAACAUCUCAAAGCAGUGAUUUCUCAACGGUUCAAUGUGCCGAUCGAAAAACAAGUGCUGCUCAUCAGCGGAGGCGAAAGCCUGCAGCCGGCAGCUUCUGUGGGCAGCUAUAGUGCAGGCACCGACACCAACCCAAUCUUCUUCUUCAACAAGGUUUCCAUUGAAUCGGACUCUCUUGUCAGGUCCAGUGAACUGGUCUCGUCAGACCAGGAUAUGUCGCUGGAGCUGGAAGCAGUGGUUGACAUGCCGCCUUCUUUCAACACCGUGGUUACAAGGACACAGCUUGCUCAGGAAUUCUGUGAUCGUGCUCGGGUGGAAGUGAGAACCUCCGAACUUCUUGUCCAUGAACAGCACCUGCAGCAGCAGGGCUGGGCUGCUGUGGUUGCCAACCUUGAUGACAUGACGACGAGUCUGAGGAACAACGCAGGAGGCAUUGAACAGGAGCUGACAGAGUUCCUUCAAAGUCACCAGCAGCACACGGAGCUGCUUGAGAGUUUGGACGAAGAUAUCGUACUCCUGGGAAAGAUUCCUGUUCUUCCGGCAUUGCUGUCUUCCGAGCACCAGGAUGAACAGAAGGGCAUGAUGUUGCUAGACUGGAUCAACUCCACGGACAGCAAAAGCAGUUUGAAAGAUAUGGCCAACCAGUGCAAGGCAUGCCUGAAGCAGCUUGUUGCGGAAGGCCUUGAGAAGUGCCGUGCGGAGGUGCAGAGGGUGAUGGAGAUGGUGGCCGACCAGCGCAUGCUGGAGAUUCGCGGGGUCGAGGAGUGGCUGAUCAACCUCGACGAACUCAUGGCCAGGGCACGCAAGCUCGAGCAGGACCAACAGGAGCACCUGCAGUCCUUUGUGCAAAACCAGUCAAGCUUCUCCCGCCUCAAGGAUCCCAGCGUCCUACCUGACCUGAGUGAGAGCCACGUGAAGCAGCUCAAAAUUAUGUUGCAGAACCACGAGGGUCUGCGUGACAUUCGACGCCGUUGCGUCUCGGCAAAAGACCACCUCUCGCAAAACCUCAAGGAACGCCUGCGGUGGAUAAUUUACGUCGAGAAGAUAAUCUCCGAGGCACAGCUGCGCUUGAUGUUCACCACACUGGCCACCAGGCAGCUGCGCAGGCAGCUCGAGAUUUGCCGCCAGAUCCACAUGGCACCGCACACCUACCUCCGCGCCGUCACCGAGGUCAUCCGGCGGCGUCACUUCUCCCACCACUUCUUGCAGUGGGCGGGCACGUUGUCAUCGCAGUGCCAGCAGCUGCACCAGCAUGAAGUGCAGGCCCGGAGGGACUUCAACAGCCAGUUCUCCAAGCACUUCCUGCACGCCCUCUUUCCCGGCAUGGAUGACCUGCCUCCACCAUUUGCAACACGGAAUCCCAAGCCGUUUGAUGACAAUCUGCCUCCUCUGGCUCCUGAAGACUUGGAGUUCCUUCGGAAAGCACUUCCAGAACUGUCAGAACUGCUUCGCACUCCUGACACGGUCACGUUGCCGACCGUUGUGCUGCCGCCGUCGGGUGCCGCACAGUCCUGCCGAGAUGCUGCAUCGCAGCCCGAUGCGGAGGCUUCAUCAUCUUGCAUUCCACCGGACGCUUCUUGUCAGCAGCUGCAGCCAGAGGAGCCCGACUGUGAAACCGACGAGGCGUUGCGGAGUGCCUCCGAGAAGGACUGCCAUGAUGGUGCCUGUUCUGAAGAUCGCGAGCGCACCCCGAAGCUGGCAGUGUCCGAUGACGAGUUUGAAGAGGUCACUGAUGAGCCGUCUACAGGCCUCAAUGCUGCCACUGCCGACAUCCUGUGCAUGCCAGCACCUCAGGACGCGAUCCUCUGCUCCCCAGACUCUCUGAAAACAAAAACUGCGGGCGUCUGUCAACGUGGCAUGCAAAGAAGCAAGUUUCGCCAGCUGAGUGGGCUGAUUUUCUCGUCUACCCUGAAGAAAACAAAGCAGGGCCACACCUCGCAAGAUUUCCAGACGGCAGACUUCUACAUUGAUGAGUCGAUGCCUUCGUCGAUAUCGGACAGUAAUGGAGUCGUGCCUGCUGCACCAAGUGUCGUUCCACCGUCGUCUGCAGUGGCAGCACCCGUCCAGCAAGCUCAAGUGGCUGCCGAACUUCAGCGGCAGCUAGAAGAGAAGAGUGCAGCGCUGUUGACAGCUCAGAAGGAGCUUGAGAGGGAGCGUGCCGAGAGGCAAGAGCUGAGGCAUGGCCUGACGAGCCUGUGCGAAGCAGCUGCGGCAGUGUGCUCGGACUCUCGAUCGGACGCUGUGUCGCUGCGUGAAGACCUGGCUGCCGCCCGCCAGAUGCUGAGCCAGGAGGCGUCGCUCAUUGGGGCUGCCAUGGACACUGCCCUUCAGGCCCUGCUAGCCAGGCUUGAGAACGAAAAGGCCGCGUCCAUAGCAGCCGAGGUGGACAGGGUGCGACGCGAGUUUGAGUCGGCCGAGGAAGACCACCGGCACCGUCUGGAGGUGGAGCGCCUAAAACUGGAAGAUGCCCACCGGGAGGUGCACCUGUACCAGCAGCAGCUCCAGCAGCUGACCCAACUCACAGACAGCCUGCGGAACGACUCAACCCUUGCCCUCGCCACGUUGAAGAACAGCUUGCAACAAGAGCAAGAGUCUGCACUUGCCAAAGCCACACUCGAGCACGAGCUGGAACAGGAGGCCCUGCAGGAGCGGCUGCGUGCCUUCGAAAGGAGCCACGAGGAGGAAGUGCAGGACCUCAAUGAGUGCAUCUGCGAGAAGGACCGGCAGAUCCAGAUGCUGUUCCAGGAGAGGCAGGGCCUGGAGGAGCAGCUGCACAGCCACUUCGCAAUGGAGAAAGAGGAGCUGCUUGCACAGUGCCGCCAGGAGUGCGCCCAGAGGGAGCAGGCCAUCAGGGAGGAACUGGUCGCCCUCCACGAGCAGCAGCUCAACCGGAUUCAACACUGCCACGAAGAAGCGAUCCAAAAAGCCAAAGAACAGACGAGGCUAGAGCUUCAGCAGGAGUGGGAAAGUAGGAUGCCAGAUUUCAAGCUGUUGCAGAGGAGGGAGUCCAUUGAAGACUUGGACACCGCCGCGGGCGACUCCUGCUCUCUCGAGGAGGCGAAACCCGACCCAUGCGGAGAGAGCAUGAUGGAGUCCACUGUGAAGCUUCCCCACUCGGCUGACCCCAUGCUGCUGGAGUUAAGGAGUCAAUUGCUUGAGAAGCAAAAUGAAGUCAAUAGACUGCAGCAACAAGUUAUGGCCAUGUCCGACAACUUUGGCACCCAGCUUCAACCGUCCCCCAUUGACAAGGUCUCCAUCCUCACAUGCCAGCCGGGUGACAUUGUGCUUCUCUGCUUCGACGAAGGUCACCAGAAUUAUGUCCUCUUUGUGUUGGGCCCGAACUUGCACUUUCUGCACACGGACUGCCUCGACACCCUCGGCCUCAAGACAGCACCUGGCACAGUUCGCAAAGGUUGGGUCCUGGCUGAGGUUGUCGAGAAAGAAUUCUGUCAAGCACGCAAGCCACAGAACCGAUAUCGAGUGCCUGCUGGAACCCGCUUCUACCGGGUCAAGGCAAAGCCGUGGGACAAGGAGGCUGCUGUGCGUCGCGAGCAGCAGCGGCGGUCAUCGCUCCGCAGUCUCACUCAGUCGUCAUUCAUCACUGCCAGCUCCGCCACCGAGGAAGUGGCACCGCCGCCGCCUGCCCAAUCCGAGGGCGCCUCCGCCGGAGAGCCCUAUCCGCAGCCCCUCGAUUCCUAAGUUGUCCGCACUCUUAAAAGACACACUUCAAGGACUCCUGUUGUUGUUUUUGCAGUGUGCCCAUGUGGUGCCCCUUUUUUGUUUUCAUUGUUUUCGGUUCACUGCUCUUUCCCCCGUUGUGGCCACCCCAAUUGGCCAACGGCUGGCCAUUUUUUUUUUUUAGUGGCAAAAUUCUUUCGUUCCUUGCUGUACAUCCACCAACCCCCGUUUUCACUGUGCCCCAGGCCUGAAAGUGAUGCUGGCUUCCCAGUUUUUAGGAGUGCUCAACACAAGAUAGCUGCGUGCAGCACUCUUCGGCAUUGUUGCUUGCUGUAGGCACCCCUUGUACUAGCUGGCUGGCUAUAGCAGUCCGUAAUUUAAUCUGAAAUCAUGUGUAUUGACACAUUGAUUUGGCUGCGGGAUAGGGUUUGGACGAAUUGCUGUGAUCCGAGCACUCGUGACUUUCCUCCCAGCAAAAGUGUUCAUCAGCCUCUCUAUUUUCAUCCUUUUAUUUGUACCUGCCCUGUAGGCAUUUUAUUUACAAGGCCUUGUCGUGGUUUGUCCAGAGCACAAGGUGGGUUUGUGACAACUGCUGCUAACCUGUCUCCACAGUUGGCCCCUUUUUGUGUGAGGACGGCUUGCUUCAAAGGCAUGGGCCUUAUCCUCCUGCUUCAGCAAUCUUGCACUUUCUGCACAAGCAGCAUUCUCUGCUGUGCACCCAAGGCAUAGCACCGUGCCAGAUACAAGUUGUGGGAGGAAUAUAAACGUAUAAUAGAUGCCUAAUAGACGUAAAAGAAAUGUCUAAAAGCAAACAUCUCGACGUCUUUUAGAUGAACUGUGCAGCUCGUGUUACACCGUGCACCUUGUUCAGAGGGGUGAUGAGCACGACCAAAUCGUCUUGGAGAUGGCAGAGGUGGGUCAUGGCUGCCAUACUGAGCAGUAUGUGGACUCGGCACUAUUAGAAGCGCUGUACAAUUUGAAACACAGGUUGCGGCUUAUUCAUAAGGAACGAGAAACAAUGGGUGAAGUCAUUUCUCGUUUCGUGCUGCAGCUCAUAGUGAAACAUUGCUUCGUGAAGACAUAUUUCGGUUCGCAUGGUGCACAAAGGCGCGCAAAAAAUUUUUCGGUUCAGAAUUGAUAAGUGUGUCGGCAAGCUAGGCCAUAGGCCUAGGGUGCAAAUGCGAGCCCUGUUUCAACCAGCAAUGUUAAUCUGUUGAAUUUAGAUUCUGUUGAAUUAAAUAUAGUUUAUUUAGUUUUAGUAUUUAAAUGCGAUGGCACAAAACAAGGUAUAACGCAGGGCCUUACAGAUGUAAUGUUUAAUUGUUGUUGUUUCAUCGCAGUGAUAUAUUAUUUUUGCAUUAAUGUUCAAACUUCGUCGAGUAAAUCUGAUUAUUUAGCAUGGAUUUAUAAAAGGCUCAGCUGUGAUUAUUUAGCAUGGAUUUAUAAAAGGCUCAGCUGACAAUUGUGAACCGUGACAGAAUUUUUUUGCAAUAUGAAAUAACUGUUUAGAGAUGUCAAGCUUUCUUGCACAUAAGCGAGUAGCUUCUGGUGUAAGCUGAAGCAUUAGUCUGUGAUGUAAAUUUUGAUAAUUGAUUGUUUCAAAAAUGAACUCUUGAAAUAUGAAAACAUGGAGCUAUGAAAAGCUUAUGUUCUCUGAACAUUGUAAACACAGUACAUUGAGAGUGUGACUUUCUCUAGCCCAUGAGAUUGACACAUGACAAUAUUUUGGUUGGAAAAAAAAAGCAAUUACUAUGGCAAGUUGUGUGGGCAUCGACUGUAUGCUUGUUGAUGUGGGAAAAAUGCAUUCUUUUUACGAGCUUCUGCAAGUGGAAGCUCUGCGGUGGAGCUUCAUUUUACACUAUACACCAAUGUCUUGCUUCAAGCUCUGGUGUCUUUAGUUUUUUCCCGUGUGACCAUAGCUCUUUUUCGGUAAUGGUACAAAGCUCGAAGCACGCACAAUGGUACAUGGGUGGCCAAGUCUUGUUCUGAUGUAACCUUAUGGUUGUACCAUAGUGAUGCCACUCUAAGCUUCACGCAUUUGCCACACUUGACGAAUUUCUCUGGCCUGCUCUUCAUAUAGAUUGUACCACGUUUUUGCUGAAGUACCUAAAAAGAAAACUGUAACACGUAUAAUGACACCCAGUCUUUGGGAGAUCCAUCUGGACUACUACGUAUAUAUUUUUUUCCUCCCAGAACAUGUUAGAAAGAACCUGCUGUACAAAGGUAGACUGUAGCUUCAAGAGAAAUGUGAAUCUAAGCUUCCUCUCCCAUACCUCCUUAUUCAUUCUCUAAAGUGGCAACUGCGAGGAACAGAUUUCCGACUUACUUUUGGCGUGGCAUUGCACGGUGUCAGUGUCUGUAUUUUUACGCUGCGAGAUAACCACACUAACGCCGCCUGAAGUGCAUCUCGCAUGGUUGGUGACUGUAAGGAAAGCCGUAUUCUAUAGAUACCUACAUUGCCUGUAGAAUUGUGGUUGUUGCGAAGUGUGAGCCAACACCGCAUGUUGCCAUGCUGAAGUACGCCGCAAGUAUCUUCCACGUAGCAGCCGCUGUAUUACUUUGCGGCUAUGUAGCACUUUUCUUUUAAAAAAAAAACCUAGCAGAUGCUUUUAGCGCUAUCGCACAUCUCUUAAGAUGUCUUUUUCUAGGGGUGUCGGGGGUAGUUGGUGUUCUCUAUCAGACCAGCCACUAAUUCAACAGCAUAGUCUACCCUUUACAGGUGCAUCGCGUGAAGCUGAACAUGCAGUGUUGUUCUGCGCAUCUGUUCUUUAUACUUUCCUAUUCACAACUUUUCAAGUAUGCUGUAGAGCAGGACGAUUGUGUAGAUGUUAGCUGUUUGACAUGCGCAAAAUCUCUUGUCGUUAGUCUUUUACUGUUUUCUAUAGGAUGUGGUGCACUAGCUUCAGCACAAAAGGUUUUGCUCCCGCGCAGCUGAAAGUAAGCAUUGCACACAUCGGUACUUGCAUAUACUGGUUGUUUUAUUCUAAUGUCAACAGAAUUUUUAAUGUAAGUAUGGUUCUAAUCCUAAGAGCUGCAAUUACUCUAAGAGGCAGGACAGUUACCUCCACGAGAAACUGACAUGCAUGUUGCAUGCCGCAGUGGCCAAGCGACUGUGGCAUUCUACUGUGGGUCGAUUCCCAGCUGCGGAAGCAGCAUUUGGAUUGCUUAGAGUGGGUCUGAUUCGUAAAUUGCAGUAUGUGCCCCUGAGUAGUUUCAGUGGUGAUUAGGGAUUUUUUGUGACAGUUAGAACAUCGAUAUAACAAACACUUAUAUAAUGAAUUAAUAGAUAUAACAGAUCAAAUGUUAAAUGCUUCCUUGUGAAUAUUCGCAUGUGACAAGUGCUUAUAGGCGAAGGUAUUCUUGUGUCGGGUGUGAUUUCAUUAUAACAAGGAUCGGGCUGCAUUUGAUUAUGCAUUUCGCUUUUUCAUGCAAGUAAUGUUUCGCCUUUAUAGUAAUCCAGCGCUAUCUCCCACAGGCGAUGCUUUAAAAAUUCAGUUAACAUUAAAAUCAAAUGCCCCAUAUAAAUAGUUUCUUUUACACAGUUACCUGAGAAUGUGCACACUAUUGAUGCAUGUUAACUGCAACCGCCCCUUGCAAGCAGCACGCAAGUUGUCCAUAUAAGUGUGAUUUUUAGGCUCCUAGCUUCCGAGACGUGCUUUUUGCGUGGUAUUUAUUAACGGGCCAAUAUGUGUGGUUUCGGUGUGUGGCGUUUUGUGACGUUUCGCAAAUUAUGCCGGUAACUGUUUAGGCUUUGCUUGAGAAACUUCGUAAGCACUUGCUCUUGCCUUGAGCGAAGUUGACCUUGAAAUCCAUGGUCCUGCAUGUAAGGCAUUUAUGUAUGUGUAAUCGGUAUAGGUUGCCUUGGGUGUGGAGGAUAUCCCUUGUUUUCAUAUAUCGGUUUCCUGAAUACUUGCGAUUCGACUGUUACAAAGUGUGCGCUUAUGACAUAUGGAUAUUACUGGCAUGUCCUUUAAUGUUAGGUCAAUUGAGAUGAUCAUUCAUUUUUUUUUUUUUUUUUUUGAAGCAGUGUCAAACAGCUGCACAAAAAAAAUCAUUACCAACAAUUUCAGCUAAACGAAAAUGGGCAGCUUUGGCUGUUGAUGAAUUGAUGGUCACGGCAGCAGUUGCCUUAGAAUUGUUCAAAAAUGUUUAUUUUAGCUGUCGCUUUACAGACAUAGUUUUAUUUAUUUGUUUAAUGUGCAGGUUUAAAGUUGCUUUAACAGAAUAUUUUUAUCCGGCUGCAAAAACUAACAAAAUUGUGACAUUUUUUUUUUUUUUUUUUACUUAAAGACCCCAUAUGCAUUGUCACAACUUCGUGGCUUUUCCAUGCGUUUAACGAGAGAAAGGUGCCGAACUGUGACAAUGUGUAUAUAUCUCUUCUAUAAGGAAAAUGCAGUUGCACCAUCACUGCAUGAAAGAAUUGUUGUGUGGUGUAAUACAACAGAACAAAAGUUAGAACGGCAUAAAGUGCAUAUGUGCCAGGGUUUUCCUUUUACUACAAGGGUUUUGAAUAGUGUCUCGAAGAUGCAAUUCUUAAGGGCUCCAUGUAGAACUGGAACAGUAAAAAAGCAAACAUGGAAACAGGUUAGGGGAGGGCCCACUUUUUCUGUACAUAUGCGAGGCGUGGUGAGAAGCACCAAUCUCGCCUUUUUUUAUCGACUGCUAUUGUAUAGGCGAGGCACUGACGAGGUAUUUGUACAGCAAAUGUAAACAAAUAAAUGUAUUUGAUAAUUAU